CAGGGAUCGCCGGCGCGCCAGGACUCGUCCACCUCCAUCCAAACGGCCGCCUCGACGCCGGUGCUGAUGCUCCCAUCCCCCAAGGCUCCUACGAGUCUGUCCUUCCCAUCCCCCUCCUUUGUCCUUCCCCAAGUCCUCUCAUCUCUUCUUCACCGAGUCUGAGGAAGAGGGCAGGGCGGGGACUGCCAUCCUCCGAGCUGCUGUGCCGGCGCAGCGCGACGAGUCCAGCAGAGGGACCUUAACUGCCGGGGGCCUCGAACAUCACAGAGACACAAGGAUCCCAGGCUUCCAUGAGACCGACCUUCCUGUUCCUCUCCCUCAUCCCUCCCCGGGGAGAGGAGGGGUCAGAGAAGUAACAGAGGCAGCUGUUCUUGUGGAAAAGCAGAUUUCAGUUUGGACAGAAAGAAGUGCUGAACUUCAGCAGGAAGAUGCAGCC
ensembl:lncRNA